CUCUCAUUGCGCCAACCCCAACACAACACGCUCACGCUCUUUUCAUCAAAAUCAAAUUCCUUUCAUCUUCUUCUUCCUCUAUCCUCUUCCGCCAUUUUCUUUUUCUAAAUAAAGCUUUCUUUCUUCAACCUCAUCACUCUUUUCAUGUUCUUUACUCUUACCUACAAUACAGUUUCGCCCUAGCCAAAACCUAUCUUAUAUUUCCAUUAUUCCAUCCCUUUUCCCUCUGUCCUUACUUUCUGAUCCGUUCUUUGAAGACGCGUGUCCUUUCUUUGCCUUAUCGAUCCAGCCGGUGGACUCUGGAUUUGUUAUUACUCUGCGUAUUUCGUGUUUUCAUGAAAAAUGCUGAUCAGAAAUCUGGUGGCCUUGAUGCUCUUUUUCACGGUUAUUGCUCCGAUUUUGCUUUACACUGAUCGCCUCGCCUCUCUUAAGUUCUCAUCUAAGGGCGAUCUUGUUGAAGGUUUUGCAACUUCUGGUUUCAAUAGCAACUACGGGCAUCUGAAUCUUGUUGAUGGGAAAUCUUCAUCAAGCGUAAAAGAGCCCGUUGCGAUUGUUUACUCCGACAACAAGUUGCUUACAGAUUCAGGUGCUUCGGAUUGGCAGAGCAAUGACGGCAUCCAAGGUGUCAUAGAGCGUAAAUCUACUCGAGUAUUGUCCACAACUGAUGACGAAGGUCUUUCUCAAAAUGAGAAUCCCAUUAAACAAGUUACGGACCCCAUUGGGCUGCCAAAUGUCAUUUCAGGGAAUCCCAAUAGUACCAGUGAAAAGAACAGCGAAGUUGAUCCUAACGUCAAACAGGAGCAGUCAGCCACUCAAACUUCUGAAAAAACUGAUGGGGGGGAAAUAGUAAAAUCGAGAGUCGAACAAGACAGUGUUCAAGUUGCUCAUACUAAUGCUCGGGUAAGACAUCUAAAGGACCAGCUCAUUAGGGCCAAAGUUUACCUCUCGCUUCCAGGCACUAGGAACAAUCCCCACCUUACAAGAGAACUUCGACUGAGGAUAAAAGAAGUUCAACGAACGUUAGGUGAUGCAAGCAAGGAUUCUGAGCUACCUAAAAAUGCCCAUGAGAGAUUGAAAACGAUGGAGCUAACCUUGGCAAAAGGGAAACAAGCUCAGGAUGACUGUUCUACCGUAGUAAAGAAACUACGAGCUAUGCUUCACUCAACUGAAGAGCAGUUACGAGUGCACAAGAAACAAGGCCUGUUUCUAACACAGUUAACAGCCAAAACACUUCCUAAAGGCCUUCAUUGCCUUCCUUUGCGCCUGACAACUGAAUACUAUUCUCUGAAUUGGUCCCAACAGCCUUUCCCAGGUCAAGAGAAACUUGAAGAUCCAGACCUGUAUCAUUAUGCAUUAUUCUCAGAUAAUGUAUUGGCAGCAGCAGUAGUUGUUAACUCAACAAUUACUCACGCAGAGGAGUCUUCAAAACAUGUUUUUCACAUUAUUACAGAUAGACUCAACUAUGCAGCAAUGAGAAUGUGGUUUCAAGCAAAUCCACCUGACAAAGCUACAAUUGAGAUUCAGAAUAUUGAAGAGUUUACAUGGUUAAAUGCCAGUUAUAGUCCAGUUCUUAAGCAGUUGGGUUCUUCAACCAUGAUAGAUUAUUACUUCCGGUCUCAUCGGGCUAGCUCUGAUUCAAAUAUGAAGUUCCGGAAUCCAAAGUACUUGUCCAUCUUGAACCAUCUACGAUUUUACCUCCCACAGUUAUUCCCGAAGCUCAAAAAGGUUUUGUUCCUGGAUGAUGAUAUAGUUGUGCAGAAAGAUCUCACGGGACUUUGGUCCAUUGAUUUGAAAGGAAAUGUUAAUGGUGCUGUUGAGACUUGUGGAGAAAGCUUUCAUCGGUUUGAUAGAUAUCUCAAUUUCUCAAACCCUCUCAUCUCCAAGAGUUUUGACCCUCAUGCCUGCGGCUGGGCAUAUGGUAUGAAUAUCUUUGAUUUGGAUGAAUGGAAGAGGCAGAAUAUUACGGAGGUGUACCACUCCUGGCAGAAGCUGAAUUACGACAGACAAUUGUGGAAGCUGGGGACAUUACCACCGGGUCUCAUCACAUUUUGGAAACGCACUUAUCAGCUCGACAAAUCCUGGCAUGUUUUAGGUCUAGGAUACAAUACUAAUGUUGGGCAGAAGGAAAUUGACCGAGCGGCCGUCAUACACUAUAACGGGAACAUGAAGCCAUGGCUUGAGAUAGCCAUACCCAAGUACCGAAAUUAUUGGACAAAGCAUGUUGAUUUUGACAAUGUAUAUCUAAGAGAAUGCAACAUUAAUCCAUAAAUGGUCCUUGUGGACUCCUAGUUUCCUCCAUGAUUUUAACAUCCACAAUAGUUUUCCAGAAUCUGCUUAACCAAAUCCUUUUAACAAGUCGCAAGUUCAACUUUCGGAUAAGAUCUCCAUAACUUCUUUGAGACAGAUGGGGUUGGAUGGGUUAAACUCAUGGACAAUAGACUAAAACCAAGCCAAAAUUCCGAGGUAUUAUUUGUCUUUAUGUGUUUGUGUAAAUUUAAUUAAUCCUUUGGACAAAGCUAACUUGUGUAUGGCUUAACUAGUUAACAUGUAUCCUCUCGACCCAGAUGUCAAAAUUUGAUAUUGUCCUUAUGAAUUUAUGUGACUAAUUUGUAUUA